rnacentral:rRNA from 1 species
GACGAACGCUGGCGGCGUGCUUAACACAUGCAAGUCGAACGCUGAACCCGCUUCGGUGGGGGAUGAGUGGCGAACGGGUGAGUAACACGUGGGCAACCUGCCCCCGGCUCUGGGAUAACUCCAAGAAAUUGGGGCUAAUACCGGAUGUGACCGCUGGCCGCAUGGUCUGGUGGUGGAAAGGGUUUCCGGCUGGGGAUGGGCCCGCGGCCUAUCAGCUUGUUGGUGGGGUAGUGGCCUACCAAGGCGACGACGGGUAGCCGGCCUGAGAGGGUGACCGGCCACACUGGGACUGAGACACGGCCCAGACUCCUACGGGAGGCAGCAGUGGGGAAUAUUGCGCAAUGGGCGGAAGCCUGACACAGCGACGCCGCGUGGGGGAUGACGGCCUUCGGGUUGUAAACCUCUUUCAGCAGGGACGAAGCGUAAGUGACGGUACCUGCAGAAGAAGCACCGGCCAACUACGUG